CCUACGGGAGGCUGCAGUCGAGAAUUAUUCACAAUGGGGGAAACCCUGAUGGUGCGACGCCGCGUGGGGGAAUGAAGGUCUUCGGAUUGUAAACUCCUGUCAUGUGGGAGCAAAUUAAAAAGAUAGUACCACAAGAGGAAGAGACGGCUAACUCUGUGCCAGCAGCCGCGGUAAUACAGAGGUGUCAAGCGUUGUUCGGAAUCACUGGGCGUAAAGCGUGCGUAGGCUGUUUCGUAAGUCGUGUGUGAAAGGCGCGGGCUCAACCCGCGGACGGCACAUGAUACUGCGAGACUAGAGUGAUGGAGGGGAAACCGGAAUUCUCGGUGUAGCAGUGAAAUGCGUAGAUAUCGAGAGGAACACUCGUGGCGAAGGCGGGUUCCUGGACAUUAACUGACGCUGAGGCGCGAAGGCCAGGGGAGCGAAAGGGAUUAGAUACCCUUGUAGUC
rnacentral:rRNA from 1 species